rnacentral:rRNA from 1 species
GAUGAACGCUGGCGGCGUGCCUAAUACAUGCAAGUCGAGCGAACAGACGAGGAGCUUGCUCCUCUGACGUUAGCGGCGGACGGGUGAGUAACACGUGGAUAACCUACCUAUAAGACUGGGAUAACUUCGGGAAACCGGAGCUAAUACCGGAUAAUAUAUUGAACCGCAUGGUUCAAUAGUGAAAGACGGUUUUGCUGUCACUUAUAGAUGGAUCCGCGCCGCAUUGGCUAGUUGGUAAGGUAACGGCUUACCAAGGCGACGAUGCGUAGCCGACCUGAGAGGGUGAUCGGCCACACUGGAACUGAGACACGGUCCAGACUCCUACGGGAGGCAGCAGUAGGGAAUCUUCCGCAAUGGGCGAAAGCCUGACGGAGCAACGCCGCGUGAGUGAUUAAGGUCUUCGGAUCGUAAAACUCUGUUAUUAGGGAAGAACAAAUGUGUAAGUAACUAUGCACGUCUUGACGGUACCUAAUCAGAAAGCCACGGCUAACUACGUG